rnacentral:tRNA from 1 species
GUUCCUGUAGUUAAAUGACAAUAACAACGGCUUUUCAGGCCGUGGAUCUUGGGUAGGUACCAAGCAGGAAUU